UAGGCCCUUGGUCUUUUGCAGCCAUUGGUCCCUGGAGUGAAAUAUCGGCUCUUCUUUCUGCUGCUUUCAGACUGGAAUUUAUAUCAUCAGUGCUCUUGAUUCCCAGGCCUGACGUCUCGGACUAGAACUACACAUUGGAUCUCCUGGGUCUCCGGCUUGCCAACUGCAGAUCUUGGAACUUCUCAGCCUCCAUAAUUGCAUGAGUCAAUUUCUUACUAUGUGUGUUGAAGAUGGAAAUUACUACUGUAGAACAUCCAAGAUCUGCAAUGACAACUAUGUCACUAUGAACUCCUCUGCCACGUGUCUGGAGACUUUUCUUUAACAUCAACCUGAGUGUGCAUCUUUAUAUCAGAAAUGCAAAAAUGGAAAAGAAAAAUGUGCACUAAAGGGAUGAAGCAGCAGUGACGCCCAGGGAAUGGACAUGUGUGCUGAUUUAGACCCACUCUGCAAGUCACCUUGGAGAACCUCUCUGGUGGUGCCACAGCUAUCAGAUGGACCAUUGUUCCCACCAGCCUCUCUCGUCCCCCCUUCCACAUCAAAACCUGUACUGAC
rnacentral:lncRNA from 1 species